GUGGCUUUGUUACCUAUUCCAUUAGGAACUGCAGAUUUUUUAGUCCAUCACAUUCAUGCAUUUACCAUACAUGUGACUGUAUUAAUACUUUUGAAAGGUGUUUUAUUUGCUCGGAGUUCCCGUUUGAUACCCGAUAAAGCAAAUCUAGGUUUUCGCUUUCCUUGCGAUGGGCCUGGCUGAGGGGGAACAUGUCAAGUAUCCGUCUGGGAUCAUGUUUUCUUAGGUUUAUUCUGGAUGUACAAUCCAAUUUCGAUAGUCAUUUUCCAUUUCAGUUGGAAAAUGCAGUCGGAUGAGUCAAGAACGACUCGAAGACCGUGGGAAGGUCUUCACGCUACGCCGAAGACGACGAUGGCUCCAUACCGGGUGGUAAUACACAGGUAUAGGAUUUCCUGUAAUGAUGUGAAACUGUAUAUUUCAGAGAAAUAG
rnacentral:rRNA from 1 species